GAUGAACGCUGGCGGCGUGCUUAACACAUGCAAGUCGAACGAACCUUCGGGUUAGUGGCGGACGGGUGAGUAACGCGUGGGAAUCUGCCCUCAGGAGGGGGAUAACGGUUGGAAACGACCGCUAAUACCCCAUAUGCCGAGAGGUGAAAUGAAUUUCGCCUGAGGAUGAGCCCGCGUCUGAUUAGCUUGUUGGUGAGGUAAUGGCUCACCAAGGCAUCGAUCAGUAGCUGGUCUGAGAGGAUGAUCAGCCACACUGGGACUGAGACACGGCCCAGACUCCUACGGGAGGCAGCAGUGGGGAAUUUUCCGCAAUGGACGAAAGUCUGACGGAGCAACGCCGCGUGAGGGACGAAGGCCUCUGGGCUGUAAACCUCUUUUCUCAAGGAAGAAGAUAUGACGGUACUUGAGGAAUAAGCCACGGCUAAUUCCGUGCCAGCAGCCGCGGUAAUACGGGAGUGGCAAGCGCUAUCCGGAAUUAUUGGGCGUAAAGCGUCCGCAGGCGGCCUUUCAAGUCUGCUGUUAAAGCGUGGAGCUUAACUCCAUCAUGGCAGUGGAAACUGAUUGGCUUGAGUAUGGUAGGGGUAGAGGGAAUUCCCGGUGUAGCGGUGAAAUGCGUAGAUAUCGGGAAGAACACCAGUGGCGAAGGCGCUCUACUGGGCCAUUACUGACGCUCAUGGACGAAAGCCAGGGGAGCGAAAGGGAUUAGAUACCCCUGUAGUCCUGGCCGUAAACGAUGAACACUAGGUGUCGGGGGAAUCGACCCCUUCGGUGUCGUAGCUAACGCGUUAAGUGUUCCGCCUGGGGAGUACGCACGCAAGUGUGAAACUCAAAGGAAUUGACGGGGGCCCGCACAAGCGGUGGAGUAUGUGGUUUAAUUCGAUGCAACGCGAAGAACCUUACCAGGGCUUGACAUCCUGCGAACCUUUAAGAAAUUAGAGGGUGCCUUCGGGAACGCAGUGACAGGUGGUGCAUGGCUGUCGUCAGCUCGUGUCGUGAGAUGUUGGGUUAAGUCCCGCAACGAGCGCAACCCACGUUUUUAGUUGCCAGCAUUUAGUUGGGCACUCUAGAAAGACCGCCGGUGAUAAACCGGAGGAAGGUGUGGAUGACGUCAAGUCAUCAUGCCCCUUACGUCCUGGGCUACACACGUACUACAAUGCUACGGACAAAGGGCAGCAAACUCGCGAGAGCUAGCAAAUCCCAUAAACCGUGGCUCAGUUCAGAUCGUAGGCUGCAACUCGCCUACGUGAAGUAGGAAUCGCUAGUAAUCGCAGGUCAGCAUACUGCGGUGAAUACGUUCCCGGGCCUU
rnacentral:rRNA from 1 species